rnacentral:rRNA from 1 species
UAGCCGUAAACGAUACUCGCUAGGUGUCGGCCACGGUGCGACCGUUGUCGGUGCCGUAGGGAAGCCGUGAAGCGAGCCACCUGGGAAGUACGGCCGCAAGGCUGAAACUUAAAGGAAUUGGCGGGGGAGGCACCACAACGGGUGGAGCUUGCGGUUUAAUUUGGAUUCAACGCCGGAAAUCUUACCGGGACCGGACAGCAACAUGAAGGCCAGGCUGAAGACUUUGCCGGAUUAGCUGAGAGGUGGUGCAUGGCGUAGUCGUGU